GCGCCCGUAGCUCAGUUGGUAGAGCGGUGGAACGGUAAUCCACAGUCCCGGGUUUUCAAGUCCUGGCGGUCGCU